rnacentral:rRNA from 1 species
GUCCCAGUUCGGAUUGUGGGCUGCAACCCGCCCACCAUGAAGUCGGAAUUGCUAGUAAUUGCAGGUCAGCAUACUGCAGUGAAUACGUUCCCGGGUCUUGUACACACCGCCCGUCAAACCAUGAGAGUCAGCAACACCCGAAGUCAGUAGCAUAACCGCAAGGAGCGCGCUGCCGAAGGUGGGGUUGAUGAUUGGGGUUAAGUCGUAACAAGGUACC